CGGCAGCGGUGGGGAGCGGAGCUCCUUGCGGAGCGGAGCUGGAUGCUUGUGGCUGCGCGGAGGUUGCAGUGCACCGUUGGAUAUACAGACAUCAGCCGUCAUGAUCUGUGGCCCUUACUGCUGCCUACUGCCCUCUCUGCUACCACACACAGUAUGAAUCCUUAUGAAUCAUGUCAGAAGACAUCACGUCAUCUUCCCAAGAUGAUUAUACAGAGGAUUUUGAGGAUCUGAAUAGCUUUGAAGAACUGUUUGGGCAGCGCUCUGAGCAUUCAGCAGGGAAAGGAGAUUAGUACGAGAUAACAGUACUCCUAAAAAGAUGACUGCACCAGAGAUGAUUGCAGAGCAAAGCUAUACCUGCCGUUUUACCAACAGAUGCAGGAAGAAUGAGACACCUUUUGGCUGUCAUUGCCAUCAGCAAGGAGCAAAACACCUGCAAAAAAGAUUUGGACUUCUGGGAUAUCCUUGACAUCAACCUGCAAAGUGGCCCACGCUUGGAGGGCCACCCGGCCUCUCGCCAGUGCCAGACAUCAGGAUGUUUAAUGAUGUUCUGCAGCACAGUAUGAGCUGGAGCAGUGUAAUGGCUUUGCAGUGAGCCCUCACCUGAAACCUGACUCAGCUCUUCACGUUAAACCAAUACGGCAUCAAUGAGCUUAGCUAAGGAGGCACAGCUGACACCAUUGGCCAUAGCGGACAUCCUGUAAGCAUGUGUGCAUCACACCUUCUGUUGCAUUCCAGCCUGUGGGGACUUUGGAAAAACUUAAAGCUUUUCUAUUAAAGUAAAUAUUGAUGAAUGUCAGUGUUGUACCUCUGUAAUUCUACAUCAGAUGCUGCAAAGCAGUCACACAAUAAA
rnacentral:lncRNA from 1 species